GAUGAACGCUAGCUACAGGCUUAACACAUGCAAGUCGAGGGGCAGCACGAACUUAGCUUGCUAAGUUUGAUGGCGACCGGCGCACGGGUGAGUAACACGUAUCCAACCUUCCGUUUACUCAGGGAUAGCCUUUCGAAAGAAAGAUUAAUACCUGAUAGUAUGGUGAGAUUGCAUGAUAACACCAUUAAAGAUUUAUUGGUAAACGAUGGGGAUGCGUUCCAUUAGGUAGUAGGCGGGGUAACGGCCCACCUAGUCUUCGAUGGAUAGGGGUUCUGAGAGGAAGGUCCCCCCACAUUGGAACUGAGACACGGUCCAAACUCCUACGGGAGGCAGCAGUGAGGAAUAUUGGUCAAUGGACGAGAGUCUGAACCAGCCAAGUAGCGUGAAGGAUGAAGGUUCUAUGGAUUGUAAACUUCUUUUAUACGGGAAUAAACGGAUCUACGUGUGGAUUUUUGCAUGUACCGUAUGAAUAAGGAUCGGCUAACUCCGUG
rnacentral:rRNA from 1 species